AGGUGAUCGUUCUGUCUAUGAGACAGUCAGAAGAUGUGAAAACACUGAAAAUGGUCCAGCAGAAGGUGAUUAUAACAAUGUCACAUCUGUGAUUCAGCUCAGUCAUUAACAAGACAAGGCAACGUGGUGACCCAGAAGAGAGCUCUGACUACAAUAAUGUCAAUCCAAAUUCAGCCACAGCUCUUAACAGCAGCUCUUCAGCUGUUUUGUGAUUGUCGAUUGAGCCAGCACCGAAAAUGUAUUUAAUGGUAAAGAAAGAAGACUCCACAAGAACCACCUGCAGACCACCCUGUGUGAUGCUGCACUUGCCAAAAGACAAACUCUUGCAGUACUCCAUCCAUGUCAGAUAAAGUGACACUGCCAGAGACUUCCCAUUCAGGCAAACACCAGACCUCGUAUAUCCAUCAGAUCACUUGAAAUAACUGUACAUACUUCUUUCUCCC